rnacentral:rRNA from 1 species
GACGAACGCUGGCGGCGUGCCUAAUACAUGCCAGUUGAGCGAUGAAGCUUGGUGCUUGCACCAAUUUGAAGAGCAGCGAACGGGUGAGUAACGCGUGGGGAAUCUGCCUUUGAGCGGGGGACAACAUUUGGAAACGAAUGCUAAUAUCGCAUAACAACUUUAAACAUAAGUUUUAAGUUUGAAAGAUGCAAUUGCAUCACUCAAAGAUGAUCCCGCGUUGUAUUAGCUAGUUGGUGAGGUAAAGGCUCACCAAGGCGAUGAUACAUAGCCGACCUGAGAGGGUGAUCGGCCACAUUGGGACUGAGACACGGCCCAAACUCCUACGGGAGGCAGCAGUAGGGAAUCUUCGGCAAUGGACGAAAGUCUGACCGAGCAACGCCGCGUGAGUGAAGAAGGGUUUCGGAUCGUAAAACUCUGUUGGUAGAGAAGAACGUUGGUGAGAGUGGAAAGCUCAUCAAGUGACGGUAACUACCCAGAAAGGGACGGCUAACUACGUG